UACGGGGGGUGCGAGCGUUGUCCGGAAUUAUUGGGCGUAAAGAGCUUGUAGGCGGUUUGUCGCGUCUGCUGUGAAAAUCCGGGGCUCAACCCCGGACUUGCAGUGGGUACGGGCAGACUAGAGUGUGGUAGGGGAGACUGGAAUUCCUGGUGUAGCGGUGAAAUGCGCAGAUAUCAGGAGGAACACCGAUGGCGAAGGCAGGUCUCUGGGCCACUACUGACGCUGAGAAGCGAAAGCAUGGGGAGCGAACAGG
rnacentral:rRNA from 1 species